UCACGCGGCGCUGAGGCAAACGCAGCCCAGACCCAAGCUCUCCUCGAGCCGCUCUGGCACGGGGAGACGAAGGCUGCUGAUAAGGCGAGGCAGGAGGCCUUCCGACGGAUCUCCGAGCACGUUUCAGAGGCAGGCGGCAGGACUGCAUGCACUUGGCGGUGGUUCCAGUCGCAGAAGGAACACGUGCGCACUGAGAAGGCAGAGACUCGGGAGCCGUUCAGGAUGUUCACGUGGAGUUUGUGGCUAACUACAAGUCCUGAUACGUAGCUGGGUUAACACCUAUCCGCUAGGGGUACCAAAAUGCACAGCACCUCAACAUGCAGUUUUUCACUUGCAUCUUGGACAAGAGAAGGGUAGAAAUAUCGAAUGCUGGAGCCGCGCAGAAGAUGAAAAACCCUGCGCGUGAAAUCAGUGAGACCGUGACACGAAGAGCAGCAAAACCUAGCAGCAGACACGGUGCCAGUUUGGAGGUGCUGACGCUGGGGUACGCGGUACUUCCGAAAGCAGCCGGCCCAGGCAGGCAUGUGUCGAAGG